rnacentral:rRNA from 1 species
CAAGUCGAGCGGUAACAGAAAGUAGCUUGCUACUUUGCUGACGAGCGGCGGACGGGUGAGUAAUGCUUGGGAACAUGCCUUGAGGUGGGGGACAACAGUUGGAAACGACUGCUAAUACCGCAUAAUGUCUACGGACCAAAGGGGGCUUCGGCUCUCGCCUUUAGAUUGGCCCAAGUGGGAUUAGCUAGUUGGUGAGGUAAUGGCUCACCAAGGCGACGAUCCCUAGCUGGUUUGAGAGGAUGAUCAGCCACACUGGGACUGAGACACGGCCCAGACUCCUACGGGAGGCAGCAGUGGGGAAUAUUGCACAAUGGGCGCAAGCCUGAUGCAGCCAUGCCGCGUGUGUGAAGAAGGCCUUCGGGUUGUAAAGCACUUUCAGUCAGGAGGAAAGGUUAAUAGUUAAUACCUGCUAGCUGUGACGUUACUGACAGAAGAAGCACCGGCUAACUCCGUGCCAGCAGCCGCGGUAAUACGGAGGGUGCGAGCGUUAAUCGGAAUUACUGGGCGUAAAGCGUACGCAGGCGGUUUGUUAAGCGAGAUGUGAAAGCCCCGGGCUCAACCUGGGAACUGCAUUUCGAACUGGCAAACUAGAGUGUGAUAGAGGGUGGUAGAAUUUCAGGUGUAGCGGUGAAAUGCGUAGAGAUCUGAAGGAAUACCGAUGGCGAAGGCAGCCACCUGGGUCAACACUGACGCUCAUGUAC